AUUAUAUAAUAAUAAUAAUAUAUAAUAUAUAUAGGAAGUCAUAUUAUUAAUAUAAUAUAAUUAAUAUAAAUAAUCAUAAAUAAUAAUAUAUAAUAUAUAUUUGAUAUAUAUAAAUAUUAAUUAAUUAAUAAUAAAAUAUAUAAUAUAUAUUUGAUUGAAAUAAAUAAUAUAAAUAUGCUUAUAUAAUAA